CGCGUAGGUGGUUUGUUAAGUUGGAUGUGAAAUCCCCGGGCUCAACCUGGGAACUGCAUCCAAAACUGGCAAGCUAGAGUAUGGUAGAGGGUGGUGGAAUUUCCUGUGUAGCGGUGAAAUGCGUAGAUAUAGGAAGGAACACCAGUGGCGAAGGCGACCACCUGGACUGAUACUGACACUGAGGUGCGAAAGCGUGGGGAGCAAACA
rnacentral:rRNA from 1 species